UGACAGAUGUCUCUAGCAGUUUGUUCA
rnacentral:piRNA from 1 species